rnacentral:rRNA from 1 species
GUGAGGAAUAUUGGACAAUGGGCGCAAGCCUGAUCCAGCCAUGCCGCGUGCAGGAAGACGCAUCUAUGGUGUGUAAACUGCUUUUGUACGGGAAGAAACACUCCCUCGUGAGGGAGCUUGACGGUACCGUAAGAAUAAGGAUCGGCUAACUCCGUGCCAGCAGCCGCGGUAAUACGGAGGAUCCAAGCGUUAUCCGGAAUCAUUGGGUUUAAAGGGUCCGUAGGGGGUUUAAUAAGUCAGUGGUGAAAGCCCAUCGCUCAACGAUGGAACGGCCAUUGAUACUGUUAGACUUGAAUUACAAGGAAGUAACUAGAAUAUGUAGUGUAGCGGUGAAAUGCUUAGAUAUUACAUGGAAUACCAAUUGCGAAGGCAGGUUACUACUUGUGGAUUGACGCUGAUGGACGAAAGCGUGGGGAGCGAACAGGAUUAGAUACCCGGGUAGUCC